GGCGGCGGCGUUCGGGGUGAGAGGAACCCGAGCUCACGGAGCCCGAUCGCGACCCCAGCACCGCCAAGGCCACCCUAACCCGUGUCCCCAGCCCUGCAGCACGUUCCAGGGGGAUGAGGCCCCACAUCCUUGUCCCAGCCCCGAAGGAGCAGCACAGUUACCAACAGUGCUCAGAAACAGCCCCUCCAGCCCCCAUUUCACCUCCGAGCCCGGUAACACACAAAAAGCCUUUCUUUCCUCCCUCCACUCCCCUCCAGUUCUCACAAGCCAUCAAAAAUUGCAAAUUUACCCCAGUAACAUUCCAGACAGGGUGGCUGCAGAGGGAGUUAAGAGGUAACACUUUUAUUUUGAUCCAAAUGUAUUUGAAGUGGAAGCUCUUGGUGCAGGGGCCAAUGCUCUGGGCCCUUGAGCAAGAAGAAAGAAGAGUCUUCCCGGGGAGGAAGGAGACACCUCCACAAUGUCAGCAAAUUAAAGAGAUCCUAGGUCAUGUCUGGGCCAUGGCUGCAUGUCCCCCCCGUUGGUCUGAUUAUAGUCCUGCCCAUUUGGGACCAGAAAGUCACUUCCAUCGGUCCGAUGAUCGCUGCUGCUUCUCGUACAACUAAAACAGCCUAAAAACCCCACAAAGUUCCCUGAACAAAACCUCAGCCUGUUUCAGUCAUUCCUCACUGGAUCUGCUGUACCUUGGCAGGAGCUGCACUCACAGAACACACGUUUUCCUGGGCUUUGCCAAAACCUUUUCCUGGAUCCUGUCAUUCUUCCCCCCAUGCCCAGCUUGGCUCGGAUGUGGCCGUGGAGCAUUCCCCUCCCAGGUGCUCUCUGGGAUGGGUUCACUGUGCCCCUCUUCUGCAGCAGCAGCUCCAGGCUUUGCAGGGUUUUAAAUCUCUGGGGUGCAAAUUUCACAGCUACUUGUAUUGAUUUUCUUUCCUGAGCAUCACAGGCUACCCAAAAUGAACAUUCGACAAAUCAACCUCAAAUGUGGCUUUUUCAGGGGAACACUAAAUUACAGACAGCGUUAACGGAGAAUGCCAUUAAUGUGUGUCCAUGGAUGCAUGUUCAAGAGGGGAGAAAAUUAAAAAAAGAAAAUAUGGCAGCUCUGAGAACGAAAAGGCUUCGUUUUCAGCCUUCCCAGGCUCUGCUGUUACCUGGGUGUUACCAGCAGCAGCUGCAGCAGGGCAGAAGGCAGCACAAAGUCUUUCCCAAUGGACACGUUUACCAAGAUGGAAAUUAAAUUAAGCAAAGUCCACUCUGCAAAGCACUACCAAAGCCCCUUGUAGGUCUUGGCAGCUGAAUGAUCUAGAAAAACCACACGUCACCAGCACUCGGAGACUCAACAUCUCCCAAGCCCUGGAUGUCCAGAUGCACCAGCAUUAAACCCACUGAGGAGCAGCAGCUUUGCAGGGAGAGCUCAGUUGCUCUGUGCUGCUUGCAGCUGCAGCUCUGCCCUGGAUGGGACUGGAAGGACUCUCUGGAUAUAAAAAUUGGAUAUAAACUGGAAUAUCCACUGCUUAAAGCAACAAGAUCAGUUUGACUUUACAGCUGCCAGAUAAAACAGCAGGGCCAGACCCAGUUCAGCAUCUUGGUAGAAAAAAAUCAUUAAAACCCAGAUUCUCUGUAUCCAGCAAAAAUAUUUUGCAAGGGGGGGGGAUAAGGAAUGCACAGAGGAGACAAUGUAGUGUCAUCAGAUAGUGUUUUAAUAAAAUGUACAGAAGUUUACAAGUCAAACAUUUCUUCAUGAUUACCAGAAACAGAUGAUCCCACCUGGAGUGCAAAACUUGGCCCCACUGAUGUGCCAGGCUGAGGUGGCUCCACGGCUGCUCAGGGACCACACAGAGGGGAAACUCUGCUCGUGGGACACGAGUCAGGUUGUGUGUCACAGUCAGGGGCCCACAGACACUCCCAGCUCCCCUUCCCGCUCCACGUGGGAACAAGGGAGCUUCCUUCGCUCCUGGACUGGGUGAGGGUGCUCUACCCACUGCACCCUACACCCGAGUGAGUCCCCUGCCCUCCCACCCCAUCCCUGGGAGGGAUCGGGAACACUGGAUCAACAUUAUCCCUCCAGCUUCACAGGGAGCAUUUCUAGGUGUGUGUGAGGGUAUUUACCCACCUACAACGGAAAUUACAGACCGUGGCUUAUUUUUAGAAACACUAAUGCAGCUGUGAUCAGGCUUCAGGAAUGUGUUCCCAACUGGACCAAGAUUUCACUGUCAGGACACUACUGUAAAAAUGCUUUGGAGUCUGUCGGUGUGCUGAAAGGCCUUGAUUUAACACCACGAGGAAAACAAACAAACAAACAAAAAACAACAAAAAUUCAACUCCCCAACAGAAGAGUCUUUGGUGGAAGCUGAGUUAAAGUAACCGAUUACCACUUUGGAGUGACUGACAGUUCAGCAGCUGAGCAGAUCCCGCCCAGUUUGCUGCUGUCCCGCGGAGGACGCGCUCCGGGAUGUGUCACGAUGCUCACAGGGGUCGGAGCUCAGCAUCACCUCUGUGCUCCAGGCAGAGUGUGCACCCCAGGCUGGGUGUGUGCUGGCUUCAGGAGGCUGAACUGUAAACUUAACACCAGGUGUGACGAUGCCGAGCUGGCUGGAGGGAGAGGAGACACGGGGAAAGCCCCCGAAAUCCUGCAGAGCCGGGCAGGACACAGGUCCAGGUCCCCCCACGGCGCUGUACCAACGUCAUGGCAGUGAGCACAGAGCCAAGCCAACUGCUUGCUCUAUUCACACAGAAACUCUGAUUAAUCACUUUGAAAAGAGACUUGAAGUGCAUUCAGGGAGUGAGAACCAAGAACCACUCCCUCUCCCAGCAGGAAUCCCAGAUUGUCCAAACGAUCCCUGCGAAACCCUCCGACCGUGCACGAGGGCUCAGGGCAGUGAACAGAAUUUACUACAGCUUUACUAAAGAGAUGAAACCAGUGCUCCUCUUCAGAAAACUGAUUUCAAAACACUGCAUUGAGGCUGUACUAGUCUUACUUCAUUAGGAUCACUGGUUGUGUGGCAAAUAAUUAGCAUCAUUCUUCCCUGUUUUAACAUUACAACAGCAAGCUUCAGAGACUAGAGAAAUGAAAUUUCCAUUUAUAACUCAUCACACUGAGGCUGCAGCAGUGGCAGUGCAGGAUUAGGAGGAACACAGGCUGGAAAUGAGAAGGAUAUCAGAGUAACAGGCCCUGAAAUUGAGUCUUAUGACCAUAACCAAAAGUCCCAUUACUUUAUGAGCCACAUGCAGAGAUACAAACGAGCUGCCUCCACCCUCAGAAGAGAUUUAAAACCAUUUAAGCACUGGAUGUGUCUGGCAGGAUUGUGAGCUCUAGGGCACAGUCAGCCUGCAAUUUGUGUAAAGUGCUUGAAGGACAAAAAAGCUGCCAAAAUGCCAGCUGGAAACUCAGCCUGACCCAACCUAACAGGGCUGGAAAUGAGCCCAGACACCCCAGUGUACCUUCCCUUUGAGCACAGAGGGGACAGGCUAAUACUCCUCCAGCACCAGCUCCGUGGCACCUGGACGUGGCAAGACCAGAAACUUCACAGAAUUAUCCAAAAGCAAUUUUUCAAGUAAAAAUGAAGGGCAGGAAGAACCUGAAUGCAGUGAGCAGAGGGAACACCCUGAACCCACCUGGGGUUCAGCAAAGCAUCUCCCUGUUCCGCAGGUUCAUCCCACACUGCCAAGGCCUGGCCUCCCUUCCAGCAGCUUCUGAGUGAAUUUAAGAGCUCGAGGCCAAAUGCAGCCUCCUGGCUCAGUGUGGCUGCGACACAGGUUGGUGUUGGGACAAAUCUGGGCCCUCACACUCCCCCUCCUUGAAUUCACAGUUUGCUGUCACAGUCGCUCUCAGGGCCUCUCACUGAUCCCAUCCAGCAACAACCAACUUGGGGAUACAGAGAUUUAAAACAAAAAACAAAACCAACCACCUUUUGGGUGUAUAUUUAAACAGAAAACUAAACAACAAAACAUAAUAAACAGCCUCAGCUUUGCUGAAUAAA